UCUGCUCCUGGGGACCUGGGCAGACCCUGGGCUCUUUGCAGAGGGGGCAGGGAAGGGUGAUAGCCCCGCUUGGCAGUCACCUGGGAGGGCAGCAUUUCAUGGAAUGAAAACACAGACAAUGCUGCUCAGGUAAUGAGGCUGAGCGUGGAGUUCUAGAAAAGGGAAAACAAAAAGCAAACUUCUGUAGCAUGAGUAGGUUCAUAUUUCAGGCAUUUGGGGCUGUAAGUAAGACAUAUUGCAAUCCCACGAUCCAAAACUAAAUGUGCUUUCAGAACUAUCCCAGACAAAUUUGCCACUUAGAAAAACUUCUGCCAGCAGCAAACAUCCAUUCGUCUGGGAGCCUGUCAGAAGUGACUCCCAAUCUCUCAGCGCUCCCCUUGCUCCAUCAAUGUUCAGCAGAUAAUGAAGUAAGCUGCAUCAGAUUGAUGCCCUGUGCUGAGAAACAAUUUCCCCCUUUUCUUCAAAAGCUGAAUGAGGACUUGAUGCCACAAAUCUCACUUUCCCCUCUGCUUUAUGAAUUGUCUGCAGAGCUCGUGCAAUUUUUUAAUUUUUUUUUUUUUAUAUAUAUUAUUUGGGAAUUUCUUCAGUGAAUAACACUUGGCUCGCAGAUCUUUUGGGAAUGGUAAAUGUUUGCAAAUUCAUGCUGUGUUGCCUAGUUCAGUCAUGUGGCGUUCCCUGAUUAGAUGAUUUGUGUAACUAACUCACACAAAGCGAAUAGCAAAUUCCACCACCGAGUGUACAGUUUCACACUGGAUUGCCAUCGCUAUCUGAGCAGCCAGGUUUAAAAUUCCUGCCUUGCGAGCAGCCACACGAGCAACACAUCAGCACUGAAGUGCUCCCACCAGGCAGAUGUGAGAGCCGGGUUAAACAGCUUUCAGAUUCAUAUACAUAUUAAUGGCAAACGUCUGAAUUCUUGCAGCUCUGUUAGGACGUACAGUCAGCACCAUCCAUCGCGCACGGCAUGGGCCCGUCUCUCGCAGUGCUUGCCAUGCCCCCCAGCCUCCCUAGCUCGUGCACAUCAAUCCACGACGCCUGCGGAAACUGUUUGUGCAGCCAAAACAACAGGAAAAAAAGACAGCGUGGAAAUUUCUGAAUUUUCCAUGGUAGCUUCUCCUGUUGUGGGUCUUGCACGUAGCAAGACAUGAGGAGAGCCAUCAGGGAGGACAGCAGGAGAGCACCGGUGGCGGUGCAGUGGCUGCAGGAGAAAAGCACAGAAAGAAGGAAAACCAAGGUGGCCCCCGACAAAGGGGGAUCAGCUGCCCACGGGCACGAACAUUACCAGACGGGGACUAACGCAGCACAAACAAAUAAAUAUGCCCAAACAAUUUUUAGCAUGAAUCUGGUGAAUUGGGGUCAUUAUCCUCAAAGUUUAUGGCCUCAGCAGACCCAGUCGAGGGCAGGACCUGGAGCUGUCACUGGCCUCCAGGCACCAUGCGGGUGCUCGCUGUGGGUACUGGGGUGACGCGGUUUAGCCUUUGUCACGCCGGGGGCUGAUGGCAUGCCAGGGAGGUACGGGGGAGCUCCUGCUGAUCCAGGACAAGCUGAGGGUUGUGGGGACCACAUCGCUGCCCUGUCCUCACACAGCAGCUGCCACAAGUCGUGAGCAUCUUCGGGGCUCCUCCAGCCCCAGCAAGGAGGCUGUGGGACCAGCACCCAGGGAGGCAAGGCGAGCGUUUGGGUGCCUGGAGGAGGAGGAGCUGGGGGGAAGCAGAAGCACCUGGGCAGGGUGGCUGGGAAGUUCAGCAAGAGGUGGUUGCAGCCAGCUAAGGCAGAACAGGACUCAGAGGAAGAGCCAGAGGGGCGAUCAGACCAGCUGUAGCAGAUCAAGCACUGUAGGGUCAGUCAGUCAUAACUCCAUUAGUUCUGGGGUCGAGGCUUUGUGCACUGCCAAAGAUAAAAGAAGGUCCAGGCUUGCAUAACCAUCCUUAACCACAAACUCCAAGGCCACAGCUGCAGUAAAUCAGGGAUGCUCCAAGGACACCUGAGAGAGGCUGGGCUCUGUGGGCAGACCUGGCCCAGGGACACCAGAUUUUUCUUCAGCACUUGCCCAUUCCCAAACCAUCCGUCACCUUGCAAAUUAACCCGGGCUGACACUCAGCUAGGCGCAUCUGGAGCUGCAGUGAACCCUUCCUGCAGGUUCCCAGCUCAGAUAUUUAUUUCAGUGGUUCUUGCUUUCAUAUCUUUCCCAUUUUUACUACUUCCAUUAGUCUUUUGGACUUGAAAUGACCAGUUUGCCUUCACAUUAUUUCCAUCGCUGCUCUGCCCGUACCCAAUACGUGUGUCAGCGGCUGCAAAAUUCCACAAAGCUUAGCUAAAUCCAUGUUGUCCUGUAAAUAAUGGCAGCACGUC